UACGUAGGUGGCAAGCGUUGUCCGGAAUUAUUGGGCGUAAAGCGCGCGCAGGUGGUUUCUUAAGUCUGGGGUGAAAUCCCACGGCUCAACCGUGGAACUGCCUUAGAUACUGACGGCCUCGAGGGAGAUAGAGGCGAGCGGAACUGUGAGUGGAGCGGUGAAGUGCGUUGAUAUUCACAGGAACUCCGGUGGCGAAGGCGGCUCGCUGGAUCUUUUCUGACGCUGAGGCGCGAAAGCUAGGGGAGCAAACGGG
rnacentral:rRNA from 1 species